rnacentral:pre_miRNA from 1 species
UUUAUGUGUAUUUGUCGGUUUUUUUUCUAACAUUUAACCGUCCGUCUUAUUUGAAACCUUUUCUGAUUAGUAUUUUUACUAUUAUUAGAUGAUAAAAUAUGAAUAAUAUUUGAUAUGUGACUUAUUUUUAAUUUUUUUUUAAAUAAGAAGGAUAAACAAACGUUAGAAAAAAAGAUAAAAGAAGACACGCUCG